AAUAUAAGGAAGUUAGCUGGUCAAGGUUCUACGCAGUAUAAUAAAUUCCGAUACCCUAUUUCUACAUGUUCUAGUGCUGUUUGAAAAAGCAAAAUUAUGGUCAAACCACUCAAUCAUGUCAAUAGUCUUUUCCAAGAUGGCAUUAUAGAUGUACAUACAUGUAUUUCUGCAGAUGGGAUCAAUAACAAGACGGGUUUUACAACAAGAAAAGAUGACCAAUAUUUCAAAAAGGUACAGAAAUUGUCAGGCAAGGAAUUAUUUCAUUGUAUUGGUCAUGUUGGUAGAACCAAUCCAUGGU